rnacentral:rRNA from 1 species
GACAAACUCCGAAUGCCAAUUAAUUUAACUUGGGAGUCAGAACAUGGGUGAUAAGGUCCGUGUUCGAAAGGGAAACAGCCCAGACCACCAGCUAAGGUCCCAAAAUAUAUGUUAAGUGGAAAAGGAUGUGGCGUUGCCCAGACAACUAGGAUGUUGGCUUAGAAGCAGCCAUCAUUUAAAGAGUGCGUAAUAGCUCACUAGUCGAGUGACACUGCGCCGAAAAUGUACCGGGGCUAAACAUAUUACCGAAGCUGUGGAUUGUCCUUUGGACAAUGGUAGGAGAGCGUUCUAAGGGCGUUGAAGCAUGAUCGUAAGGACAUGUGGAGCGCUUAGAAGUGAGAAUGCCGGUGUGAGUAGCGAAAGACGGGUGAGAAUCCCGUCCACCGAUUGACUAAGGUUUCCAGAGGAAGGCUCGUCCGCUCUGGGUUAGUCGGGUCCUAAGCUGAGGCCGACAGGCGUAGGCGAUGGAUAACAGGUUGAUAUUCCUGUACCACCUAUAAUCGUUUUAAUCGAUGGGGGGACGCAGUAGGAUAGGCGAAGCGUGCGAUUGGAUUGCACGUCUAAGCAGUAAGGCUGAGUAUUAGGCAAAUCCGGUACUCGUUAAGGCUGAGCUGUGAUGGGGAGAAGACAUUGAGUCUUCGAGUCGUUGAUUUCACACUGCCGAGAAAAGCCUCUAGAUAGAAAAUAGGUGCCCGUACCGCAAACCGACACAGGUAGUCAAGAUGAGAAUUCUAAGGUGAGCGAGCGAACUCUCGUUAAGGAACUCGGCAAAAUGACCCCGUAACUUCGGGAGAAGGGGUGCUCUUUAGGGUUAACGCCCAGAAGAGCCGCAGUGAAUAGGCCCAAGCGACUGUUUAUCAAAAACACAGGUCUCUGCUAAACCGUAAGGUGAUGUAUAGGGGCUGACGCCUGCCCGGUGCUGGAAGGUUAAGAGGAGUGGUUAGCUUCUGCGAAGCUACGAAUCGAAGCCCCAGUAAACGGCGGCCGUAACUAUAACGGUCCUAAGGUAGCGAAAUUCCUUGUCGGGUAAGUUCCGACCCGCACGAAAGGCGUAACGAUUUGGGCACUGUCUCAACGAGAGACUCGGUGAAAUCAUAGUACCUGUGAAGAUGCAGGUUACCCGCGACAGGACGGAAAGACCCCGUGGAGCUUUACUGUAGCCUGAUAUUGAAAUUCGGCACAGCUUGUACAGGAUAGGUAGGAGCCUUUGAAACGUGAGCGCUAGCUUACGUGGAGGCGCUGGUGGGAUACUACCCUAGCUGUGUUGGCUUUCUAACCCGCACCACUUAUCGUGGUGGGAGACAGUGUCA